UCGCGCAAAAAUAAAUACAACAAUAUGUAUAAGUGAAACGGCAGAUGAAUUCUAAAUUUAAAAAAUCAUGUGACGUCAUACAAAUCCUUACAGAGUGAUUCCUUUUUUAAAUAUGUAUGUCAUAGUGAUUUCUAAGUUCUGUGUUAUUUUUUCCUGCCGCGGCAGGACGAUUUGAAAUUUCCUGAAGAAAACCUGUGAAAUAACUCUUUAGAUUAUUUUUUUAUACACAUUUAAUUUCUUUCGACGUCUAUGUAAUCUACGUAUGUGUUGAAUGUUAUGCGAUAAUAAAGUGAAACGUAAUAUGGCAGAUUUAAGGUAAAAUUAUUAUUAAGUGUUACGAAGAAAAGAAGAGGACUAUAUUUUUCUUGAGCCCCGGGUAAACGACCCCGCCUCGUUCAAUUCACGUGUGCUUGCUGGCGUACGACCUUCACAAAUCAGGCCUUGACCAAUACCCCAAAGAUGCUAUCCUAAUGGUUUUUAUGUGAUUUUAAAACAAGACUACAAUUGGAAAAACGAUGACAUCGUCGAGUGAUUAUUGUUGUAUUAUUAUCGUACCACUAGACAGAGUGCAAGACCUGCUCCAGCUAAAAGCCAACAAUUGGUGGGAGGUGGCAGGACAGUGAGCGCUGGAAUUUUAUUGUUUCGAAGACAAUUUUUGGGUCGCAGAGCCGGCGGAGUGAGUAAGCAUAACUUUUUAUGAGAAAGAAAAUAAACAAGCAGGCGAGCUAGCGAGGUUUGGACACCUUCAACACCUGGUGGACUGCAAGUGCAUUGCCAGCAUUAAAGGUGAGUCUUACCCCGAGAUAUCGACCAGGGUCAGCUGUCAGGGCCCCCAUUCGACUCCUGCGCAUCAUAAACACGCCAUUAGGAUGACGAGCACGGAGUUACAUGGCUACAUGACCUUAUCGAGAAUGUUUUAGAGUGUUUUCGAAUAUCUUAGAUCUGAGAAAUUUCAUAGAGAUUGUUCAUAAUAAAAAAUAAAUAAUUUCC